GAUGAACGCUGGCGGCGUGCCUAAUACAUGCAAGUCUAGCGAACGGACUAGAAGCUUGCUUCUCUGAUGUUUGCGUCGUACGUUUUAGUAACACGUGGAUAACCUACCUAUAAUUCUGGGAUAUCUUCGGGAAUCCGGAUCUAAUACCUGAUUAUAUUUUGAACCUCAUGGUUCAAUAUUGAAAUACGGUCUUUCUGUCACUUAUAGAUUGAUCCGCGCUGCAUUAGCUAGUUGGUAAGGUAACGGCUUAUUAAGGCAACGAUGCAUAGCCGACAUGAGAGGGGGUGAGGACAAACUGGAAAUGAGACGCGGGCAAGACGCCUAAGAGAGGCAGAAGUAGGGUAACUUACGCAAUGGGCGAAAGCAUGACGGAGAAACGCCGCGUGAGUGAAGAAGGACUUGGGAUCGUAAAACUCUGUUAUUAGGGAAGAACAGAUGUGUAAGUAAAUGUAGACAUAUUGACGGUACCUAAUCAGAAAGACACGGCUAACUACGUG
rnacentral:rRNA from 1 species